AAGAAACGUAUUGAUGGAAAGAAUUCGAAUAUUCGAGUGCCAAAUUGAUUUAGUUUGAAUUUGGUGGAAUAUUUUUACGAAUUUUAAUAUUCCUGCUGAACUUUUCGAUAUUUUUAACAGUUUUUAACGUUUAUUAAUAGGAUUUUUAUCGAAAAAUUAAUGUAGAAUGCCAAAGCAAUACGAAAUCUUUCUAUGUCUUCUAUGGAAAGAAUGGAUGUUUAUUCGAAGGGAUUAUGUUUUAACUUUCGUUGCUAUCCUCCUGCCUGCUUUGUUAUAUGCUCCAAUUUUAUUUAUAAGAAACUAUAAUACAGAAUUAGUCACCAAACAAAGAGAUAUCACGUAUUAUACUAUCUUCGAUCCUGUAGUUUCUAAUAAGUUGAAGAUGGGCACCGAAGAAGAAUUAUUUUUAUUCGCUCCUAAUAAUAAUAUUACAGCUUCUUUAAUGAGAAAAGCAUUUGAAAGAAUUGAAACCAAAUUUCACAUAUUUCCCGAAUUAGUAGGAGUUAUAAAUGAAAAGGAGAUAGAAUUUAUAGCAAAAAAGAGAAAGAAAAUAAGAGGGGCUGUUAUUUUUAAUGAUUUAAAUUUUAAUGGAACUGGAAAACUUGAUUAUAAACUCCGUUUUCCUAUUUUCUAUUCAAUGAUUACGAGAAACCAUUUUAAAACUUUUAUUAAAUACCGACAUUGGUACAUGAAAAAUGAGUUUUUUAGUAGUGAGUUUCUAUUAUUACAACACGCAAUCGAAACGACUUUCAUCGAAAUGGUUCAAAACGAAUCAAAGAAAAGCUUCGUGAUGGAACUUCUCCAGCUUCCUACAUCCUCCUACAGCGGCUAUCAAUUAUUAAUCAUCCUUGAUUUCUUGCCUUAUAUUAUAGUCUAUGGUCUGCAUUUGUGUGUGGUUGUCAUACUCAUAAACUCAUCCGCAAACAAACAAAGAGAAAGAGAGAUGUUACUUGUUUCUGGAGUCAGUCACUAUCUGAUCUGUGUUUGCGAUUUCUUCGUUAGUCUGUCAUUAAUUAUGUUAUCUUUAUUGUUGCUUCUGAUUGAGAUUUUGUGUUUGAAGAAGGAAGUUAACAUCCUUUCACAUACAGAAAAUAGUGUAUUUUGCAUAAUCUUUAUGAUAUACGCUCUGAAUGCCUCUUUAUUUAUAAUGUUCGUAUCUUCCAUCUUUCAACAUCCCGAUAUAAAGAUACCAUUUUGUCUUUCUGCGUGGAUAAUUACUCAUACUAUUCCCACUAUUUUUAUAUUCCCUCGUUACAAGAGAGAUCUGAAAACCAUUUACAAAUUUCUCUUUUGCUUGUUCCCAAAUGUGGCUUUGCAAUGGAUAUGCAGGAUCAUAUCACUGUCAGAAACUAAUGGCAAAGAAGUAACAUGGAGCACGCUAAAUGAUUCAAGUUUUGCUGAUGAUUUUACCAUUAGUCAGAUAAUUAUGAUGAUGUUUAUAUCUUCUAUCAUUUAUUCUACAUUUUUUCUUUUUAAAUAUCAUUUUUUGAGUUAUUUCCAGCAUCAUUCGAGUGUUUCUGUCAAUGAUUAUAAUUGGAAUUUAAAGUAUGAGCAACAUACAAAAAAUGAUGAAAAAUAUUUCGAUGAUUUUCAUGUAAAAAGCCAAAAAACUGGAAUUUCUGUGCAAAAUUUACAUAAGAAAAAUCAACCUGGAAAAUUUCCCAUCUUAAACAAUUUGCAAAUUUAUUGUCGCGAAAGUCAAAUCACCACAAUAUUGGGACAUAAAAAUUCAGGAAAGUCGAUGUUAACACUUAUUAGUCUCGGUUUGGAGAUCGCAGAUAAUGGAGAAAUUUAUGUAAAUGAUGAGAAAGUAAGAGGAGGAUGGAAUAACAAAGGUGCUAUAGGCUGGUGCCCGCAAGUAAAUAUUUCAUAUUCUAUGUUAACCGUGGAAGAAAAUCUACAAUUUUUUGCCCGGUUACAUGGUAGCAAUUAUUCAAACAAAGAGAAUAUCAACAAAAUUUUAGAGUUAUUGAAAUUAUAUUCCAUUAAAAAUCUCUUAGGAAAGUUUCUCCUUCGUCAAGAACUCAGAAAACUUUGCAUUGGAAUCGCCAUGAUUCAUGAUCCUCGAGUUAUAAUUCUUGAUGAACCCAGUUUUGGCUUUAGUUCAAAAGAAACAUUACAUCUUUUAGAUAUCUUGAAUAAAAUUUGCCAUAAUAAAACCAUUUUAUUCCUCACUCGUUCGAAGCACGAAGCACUUUUAACUGAAAGAAUAAUCUUUCUUGUACAUGGAAAUAUUAAAUGUUCGGGAUCUUUAGAAGAUUUACAGAAAAAAUAUGAAUGUGGGUCUCGAGUUAUUAUUGAUGUACAGAACGGAAGCCAAUACGAAAGUAUUGUGGAAUAUAUUCAUUCUCUAACUGAAGAAGUUAAUAUUAUAAAAAGUAACAAAGAAAUAAUUGUCUGGCUAUUUGCCUCGAAUAGAAUAUAUAUAGUUAAUCAAAUAAUCCAAUUUGUCGAAGGAAAGUUUCCAUUCAAAAUAUUUAAUGUGACCAUGGCUGAUAUUUUAGGAAGUUUAACGAAACUUAAAAAUGAUUGUUCUUGUUCAAAGUCUGUUAAAAUUCCGAAAGACUUAAAGAACAUUACUCUAAUGAUCUUCAUCAUGUUGGUUCUGAGUUCAUUAAAAGAAUUUUCCGUCUUUGUAAUCAAACCAUUUAUUUAUUUAUUUCCAACUAUAUGUGUUGUAUGGAGUCUAGAAGAUAUUUAUGUUCGCAUGUUGAAAGAUAAUAUCUGUCCCGAGAUAUUAGAAAGCUUACUUUUAACUUGUGACAAACUGAGAGAUGGUUCCCUCUUAUAUGCAUGCUGCCAUGAAUAUAAUACUCUACAAAGACAAAAUGUCUAUUUAGAAAAUUGUGCCUUUAUGGUUAUUUUUGGGAUACUGUAUUUUACAAUUUUACUCUGUAUCGAGCAUCAUUUUUUCACCGCCAUAAAUAAUAGAUAUCAAAUACUCAAACGAAUGUCUAAAUUUCCAGAAAUUGUCAUAUCCGAAGAUUUCUCUCAAGAAAAUAUAUUUAUUGUGAAAAAUCUUCGCAAGAAGAUCCAUCUAGAUUUUAACAUUCGUAAUGUAUCUUUCAGCAUCGAGAAAUCGAAAUGUUUUGGCAUAUUAGGGCCAUCCAAUGCUGGGAAAUCCACUUUGCUGAAAUGUCUUAUAGGAAUUAUAUCAAUUGAUAAUGGAAUUAUUCUCUUCGAUGAUUAUAAUAUUAUGUUAAACUAUCAAAAGUACCAAUCACAAGUUGGAUAUUGUCCUCAAAAUGAAGGUUUAUUGUGGAACUUAACUGGCAAACAGACAAUUAAAUUAUUUGCAACUCUUCGCGGGAUUGAAAGGCAUCAUAUUCCAAAAAUAAUUAAUCAUCUGUUCAGAUCUCUUGGGCUAAAUGAAGAAGAUAAAUUAGUGAGAGAAUAUAGAUGAACCCACCUCUCAUAUGAAUAACGAUAUCAGAAAUUGUGUUUGGAAGACGUUAUUAGAAAUCAAGAAUGAUCCUUACUUGCAGACUUCUUUUGUAAUUACUACAUCGAGUUUUGACGAAUGUACG
rnacentral:misc_RNA from 1 species